GUGGGGAAUAUUGCACAAUGGGCGAAAGCCUGAUGCAGCAACGCCGCGUGAGGGACGACGGCCUUCGGGUUGUAAACCUCUUUUAGCAGGGAAGAAGCGAAAGUGACGGUACCUGCAGAAAAAGCACCGGCUAACUACGUGCCAGCAGCCGCGGUAAUACGUAGGGUGCAAGCGUUAUCCGGAAUUAUUGGGCGUAAAGAGCUCGUAGGCGGUCUGUCGCGUCUGCUGUGAAAACUGGAGGCUCAACCUCCAGCCUGCAGUGGGUACGGGCAGACUAGAGUGCGGUAGGGGAGAUUGGAAUUCCUGGUGUAGCGGUGGAAUGCGCAGAUAUCAGGAGGAACACCGAUGGCGAAGGCAGAUCUCUGGGCCGUAACUGACGCUGAGGAGCGAAAGCGUGGGGAGCGAACAGGAUUAGAUACCCCUGUAGUCC
rnacentral:rRNA from 1 species